ACUAUAAUUGUAUGCAAUUUUUUGGUACUGAGCGAAACGGCAUCACUGUAGAGAUUACUUUUUCUCUUUCUCUCUAAAUUGUCAUUCAAAACAUAACAGAGAAUGACUCGAGAACUAAAUUUUUAACAAAUUCAACAACACGGAGACAAAAUACAGGCGAAUUUGUGAUGAACGCAGCUAGUCUUUGUUGAUAUAUCGCGUCAAAGGAAGGAAAGCAGCAGCAACAGCAGAAAUGUAUAAAUGAAAAUGAAUGAAUAGCGGUGAUCUGAAUGGAAUGAAAACGGAGUUUGCAGCUUCGGUAAAGUAUUGUUUUUGGGAUCAGACCAAAGCGCUCAUCUCACCAUAAUCACCAACAACAACUUCAACACGAACGUAACCAAUUUGAAUACCCAAUAAAAAACUCAUCCAUCUCAACAUUCAUGAUUUCCCACGAAGUUAGGUGUGUCUGCUAGAGAGAACGAAAGGGACAAAAAUAAUUGAGCCGACUGCGAUUCCGAUGAAGAAAUUUGUAGCUGUCGGGAGUUUACUGAUGACGGUAUAAUCGCUGCGAAUAGUAUACAUCAACAGUGCACAAUUGUAUGAAUUUAUUAUAAAUAAAUAUUUGUAAACAA